rnacentral:rRNA from 1 species
UACGAAGGGGGCUAGCGUUGCUCGGAAUCACUGGGCGUAAAGGGUGCGUAGGCGGGUCUUUAAGUCCGGGGUGAAAUCCUGGAGCUCAACUCCAGAACUGCCUUUGAUACUGAGGAGCUUGAGUUCGAGAGAGGUGAGUGGAACUGCGAGUGUAGAGGUGAAAUUCGUAGAUAUUCGCAAGAACACCAGUAGCGAAGGCGGCUCACUGGCCCGAUACUGACGCUGAGGCACGAAGGCGUGGGGAGCAAACAGG